rnacentral:rRNA from 1 species
UACAGAGGUCCCAAGCGUUACUGAGAAUCACUGGGUUUAAAGGGUGCGUAGGUGGUCCGUUAAGUCAGUUGUGAAAUCCCCGGGCUCAACCCGGGAACUGCUUCUGAUACUGGCGGACUUGAGGCCAGUAGGGGUCACUAGAACUGACGGUGGAGCGGUGAAAUGCGUAGAUAUUGUCAGGAAUGCCGGUGGUGAAGACGGGUGACUGGGCUGGUUCUGACACUGAGGCACGAAAGCGUGGGGAGCGAACGGG